rnacentral:rRNA from 2 species
GACGAACGCUGGCGGUGUGCUUAACACAUGCAAGUCGAACGGUAAGGCCCUUUCGGGGGUACACGAGUGGCGAACGGGUGAGUAACACGUGAGUAACCUGCCCUCAUCUCUGGGAUAACAGUCGGAAACGGUUGCUAAUACUGGAUAUGAGCCUGCAAGGCAUCUUGUGGGUUGGAAAGAUUUUUUGGUUGGGGAUGGACUCGCGGCCUAUCAGCUUGUUGGUGAGGUAGUGGCUCACCAAGGCUUCGACGGGUAGCCGGCCUGAGAGGGCGACCGGCCACAUUGGGACUGAGAUACGGCCCAAACUCCUACGGGAGGCAGCAGUGGGGAAUAUUGCACAAUGGACGGAAGUCUGAUGCAGCAACGCCGCGUGCGGGAU